CAGCAGCCGCGGUAACACAGAGGGUGCGAGCGUUAAUCGGAUUUACUGGGCGUAAAGCGUGCGUAGGCGGCUUCUUAAGUCGGAUGUGAAAUCCCUGAGCUUAACUUAGGAAUUGCAUUCGAUACUGGGAAGCUAGAGUAUGGGAGAGGAUGGUAGAAUUCCAGGUGUAGCGGUGAAAUGCGUAGAGAUCUGGAGGAAUACCGAUGGCGAAGGCAGCCAUCUGGCCUAAUACUGACGCUGAGGUACGAAAGCAUGGGGAGCAAACAGGAUUAGAUACCCCCGUAGUCCCUGUCUCUUAUAA
rnacentral:rRNA from 1 species